rnacentral:rRNA from 1 species
CCCUGGCGGCGAGCGGCGAACGGGUGAGUAAUGCAUCGGAACGUACCCAUUUGUGGGGGAUAACUAUCCGAAAGGAUAGCUAAUACCGCAUAAGUCCUGAGGGAGAAAGCAGGGGAUCGCAAGACCUUGCGCGAAUGGAGCGGCCGAUGUCGGAUUAGCUAGUUGGUGGGGUAAAGGCCUACCAAGGCGACGAUCCGUAGCUGGUCUGAGAGGAUGAUCAGCCACACUGGAACUGAGACACGGUCCAGACUCCUACGGGAGGCAGCAGUGGGGAAUUUUGGACAAUGGGGGAAACCCUGAUCCAGCCAUUCCGCGUGAGUGAAGAAGGCCUUCGGGUUGUAAAGCUCUUUCGGCAGGAACGAAACGGUGGGGGCUAAUAUCCUCUACUAAUGACGGUACCUGAAGAAGAAGCACCGGCUAACUACGUGCCAGCAGCCGCGGUAAUACGUAGGGUGCAAGCGUUAAUCGGAAUUACUGGGCGUAAAGCGUGCGCAGGCGGUCUUGUAAGACAGGUGUGAAAUCCCCGGGCUUAACCUGGGAACCGCACUUGUGACUGCAAGGCUGGAGUACGGCAGAGGGGGAUGGAAUUCCGCGUGUAGCAGUGAAAUGCGUAGAUAUGCGG